GCUAGCCGCCGCCGCCAUGAGUACCAACAUGUAAGAUACUGGGGCUGCUGAUUGCCAGUCAUCUACAAGGCCUGGUGUAAAUGGGUCAUAGGGCUGUCUCUGGCUGCACCCUCACUCUGGACUCCACUUAUAAAUCUAAGGACAACAAUUUGGUUUGCAGACAUCAUAGGAAAGAAAAGGUUGUAGAUUCCUUCAAGAUUAAUAGAGAUCAGGUUCGAUUGGGGAAGACCUCCUGAAGAUCUUGGAUACAGAAGAGUGUAACAUGGCCUGGAAGAGAAUCAAACAACAAUGUCAGCUGGGGAAACGGCACUGGAAAGCCAUCCCUGAGAGUCAUACCUUUAGCCCACUAUUUUCUGGUAUGGAGCUGUGCAUUGACUUUUGGAAAUGA